CCUACGGGGGGCAGCAGUGGGGAAUAUUGGACAAUGGGGGCAACCCUGAUCCAGCGACGCCGCGUGUGUGAAGAAGGCCUGCGGGUUGUAAAGCACUUUUAGUGGGGAGGAAGGUCUGCGACCUAACACGUCGUGGAAUUGACUUAACCCACAGAAAAAGCACCGGCUAACUCUGUGCCAGCAGCCGCGGUAAUACAGAGGGUGCAAGCGUUGCGCGGAAUGACCGGGGGCGAAGCGUGAAGAGGGAUGUGAAAGCCCCGGGCUCAACCUGGGAAUUGCAUUCGAGACUGCGAAGCUGGAGUGCGGAAGAGGGAAGUGGAAUUUCCGGUGUAGCGGUGAAAUGCGUAGAUAUCGGAAGGAACAUCAGUGGCGAAAGCGACUUCCUGGUCCAGCACUGACGCUCAGGCACGAAAGCGUGGGGAGCAAACAGGAUUAGAUACCCGAGUAGUC
rnacentral:rRNA from 1 species